GACAGAGGGUGCAAACGUUGUUCGGAAUUACUGGGCGUAAAGCGCGUGUAGGCGGCUAUGUAAGUCGGGCGUGAAAUCCCACGGCUCAACCGUGGAAGUGCACCCGAAACUGCGUAGCUAGAGUCCUGGAGAGGAAGGUGGAAUGCUUGGUGUAGAGGUGAAAUUCGUAGAUAUCAAGCGGAACACCGGUGGCGAAGGCGGCCUUCUGGACAGUGACUGACGCUGAGACGCGAAAAGCGUGGGGGAGCAAACAGG
rnacentral:rRNA from 1 species